AUGGGACAAUUAGGAGCACAAGGCACUUCUCAUACCUGGAUUGAGAGGGAGCACAGUGACAAGAGAGGAUACAAGAUAGCAGACACUCCCCACCAACUCAUUUCUCCGUUCACUCAACUGCCAAGCGCUGUACAAGUCAGAAGAGGCAUGUUUGCCAAUGGUGCUGUUCAGUCAUAUCGGCUAUGUCUUCACUCCCAACACUUCGAGGGGAACAGCAAUAGGAUAAGAUUCAACUACAAUUUCCUAAGAGGAAACAUCUGAGUAAGUAACUAUUCUUUAAUUACAGUGCAUUAGGAAAGUAUUCAGACCCCAUGACCUUUUCCACAUUUUGUUAUGUUAGCCUAACAUGGAUAAAAUACAUUUUCCCGCCUCAUCAAUCUACACAC
rnacentral:lncRNA from 1 species